CAAAGGUUCCCUCAGCCUGGUUGGUAAUCAGGUGGCGAGUGUAAGUGCACAAGGGAGCUUGACUGUGAGACUGACAAGUCGAGCAGGUACGAAAGUAGGAACUAGUGAUCCGGCGGUGGCUUGUGGAAGCGCCGUCGCUCAACGGAUAAAAGGUACCCCGGGGAUAACAGGCUGAUCCUGCCCAAGAGUUCAUAUCGACGGCAUGGUUUGGCACCUCGAUGUCGGCUCGUCGCAUCCUGGGGCUGGAGUAGGUCCCAAGGGUUGGGCUGUUCGCCCAUUAAAGCGGUACGCGAGCUGGGUUCAGAACGUCGUGAGACAGUUCGGUCCCUAUCCGCUGCGCGCGUUGGAAACGUGAGAAGGGCUGUCCCUAGUACGAGAGGACCGGGACGGACGAACCUCUGGUGUGCCAGUUGUACCGCCAGGUGCAUCGCUGGUUGGCUACGUUCGGAAGGGAUAACCGCUGAAAGCAUCUAAGCGGGAAGCCUGCUUCAAGAUAACGUUUCCCGAACACUCUUUGGGUGUUGACAGGCCCCCUAUAGACCAUGGGGUUGAUAGGCCAGACGUGGAAGCCCGGUAACGGGUGGAGCUGACUGGUACUAAUUGGCCGACCACUUAAAAAA
rnacentral:ncRNA from 1 species